GCCAGGCACAGUGGUUCAUACCUGUAAUCCCAGCACUUCGGGAGGCUAAAGCGGGAGAAUCUUUUGAGCCCAGGAGGUUUGAGACUAGCCUGGGCAACACAGUGAGACCCCAUAUCCACAAAAAGUAGAAAAACUUGCCAGGUCUGGUGGCACGUGCCUGUGGUCUCAGCUAUCUGGGAGGCUGACGUGGGAGGAUCGCUUGAGACCAGGAGGUCAAGGCUGCAGUGAGCUGUNNNNNNNNNNACAGCUCACUGCAGCCUUGACCUCCUGGUCUCAAGCGAUCCUCCCACGUCAGCCUCCCAGAUAGCUGAGACCACAGGCACGUG
rfam:Gorilla gorilla gorilla genomic chromosome, chr16, whole genome shotgun sequence